UUUGCAGAAAUGGCACUGUUGCAAUACCUUCUGCAGGUCGUAUCUUUGAUGAUGGCCGGACACCUACGUGAACUCGCGCUCUCCGGUGUUGCUCUGCAAUGUCACCGGCUUUAGCCUCCUCAUGGGAUAUGCAAGUGGCUUAGAAAUUCUAUGUGGGCAAGCUUACGGAGCACAAGAAUAUCAAAAGGUUGGAAGCUACACGUACUGCGCAAUAAUCUCCGUUCUUCCAAUCUUUCUCCCGAUAUGCCUGGUUUGGAUUUUCAUGGACAAGCUAUUAGUUCUAAUAGGCCAAGAUCCUCAAAUUGCAAUGGUAGCUUGCAAAUAUGCAACAUGGCUCAUACCAGCAUUGUUUGCCUAUUCCAUACUUCAAUCACAAGUUCGAUUUUUUCGUGCUCAGAGCUUUAUUCUUCCCGUCGUAUUUAUCACGAUGGUAACUCUAGGCUUUCAUAUUCCUAUUUGUUGGGUUUUGGUAUUUAAAUCGGGCUUGGGGAAUUGUGGGGAAGCUUUGGCCAUUGGCUUGUCCUAUUGGCUCAAUGUGAUACUGCUCGGAAUUUACAUGAGAUACUCAUCAUUGUGAGAGAAAACCCGUAUCCUUGUCCCGGAGGACGUUUUCGCCAGCAUCAAGGAGUUCUCUUGGUUCGGGAUUCCUUCUACCGUAAUGGUUUGGUACCUUAGUCUUCCUUUCUUAUUAACAUGAUUGUACAUAUCACUCUUUGUUUAAUUUCCUAAUCAUGUUCUUUGCUUGGAGACAAAAUAACAGUCUAGAAUGGUGAUCUUUUGAGAUUCUUUUAUUGCUAUCAGGAAAUUUGCCUAAUUCAAAGCUUGAAACGUCACUUAUUUCUGUAUGCUUCACAACCACAUCUGUGCAUUUCUAUAUACCAUUUGGGAUUAGUGCUGCUGCAAGCACUCGAGUUUCGAACGAGUUAGGAGCCGAAAAUCCACAGGCAGUUCAACUGACUGCUGUUGCAGUAAUGGCUCUUACAGUCGCGGAAUCAGUCGUUGCAAGCACAAUUAUCUUCUGUUGCUGUUAUGUUUUCGGAUAUGCAUACAGUAAUGAGAAGGAAAUUGUAGAUGGUGUAAUCAAAAUGGUUCCUUUACUGUGCUUCUCAAUAAUCAUGGAUAGCUACCAUGCAGUACUUGGUGGGGUUGUUAUAGGAAUUGGGUGGCAGCACAUUGGAGCCUAUAUAAAUGCUGGAGCAUAUUAUCUUGCAGGAAUUCCAACAGGGAUUUUAUGUGCUUUUGUUUUUAAAUUGAGAGGGAAAGGCCUUUGGCU